rnacentral:rRNA from 1 species
GACGAACGCUGGCGGCGUGCUUAACACAUGCAAGUCGAACGGUGAAGCGCUUUCCUUUUUGGUUGGUGUGGAUGAGUGGCGAACGGGUGAGUAACACGUGAGUAACCUGCCCCCUUCUUCUGGAUAACCGCAUGAAAGUGUGGCUAAUACGGGAUAUUCUGCGCCUGCUGCAUGGUGGGUGUGGGAAAGAUUGUGCCUUUGGGUGUUUUCGGUGGGGGAUGGGCUCGCGGCCUAUCAGCUUGUUGGUGGGGUGAUGGCCUACCAAGGCGGUGACGGGUAGCCGGCCUGAGAGGGUGGACGGUCACACUGGGACUGAGACACGGCCCAGACUCCUACGGGAGGCAGCAGUGGGGAAUAUUGCACAAUGGGCGCAAGCCUGAUGCAGCGACGCCGCGUGAGGGAUGGAGGCCUUCGGGUUGUGAACCUCUUUCGCCAGUGAAGCAGGCCUGUUCCUUGUGGGUGGGUUGACGGUAGCUGGAUAAGAAGCGCCGGCUAACUACGUG